rnacentral:rRNA from 2 species
CAAGUCGAACGGGGAUCGUCGGUGUAGCAAUACAUCGGCGGUUCUAGUGGCGCACGGGUGAGUAACACGUGGGUAACCUGUCCUUGAGUUCGGGAUACCCUCUCGAAAGGGAGGCUAAUACCGGAUACGUUCCCUGGAUUGCGAAAUUUGGGGAGGAAAGGUGGCGCAAGCUGCCGCUCUUGGAGGGGCUCGCGGCCUAUCAGCUAGUUGGUGAGGUAAUGGCUCACCAAGGCUAUGACGGGUAGCUGGUCUGAGAGGACGACCAGCCACACGGGAACUGAGACACGGUCCCGACUCCUACGGGAGGCAGCAGUGGGGAAUUUUCCGCAAUGGGCGAAAGCCUGACGGAGUGACGCCGCGUGGGGGACGAAGGCCUUCGGGUUGUAAACCCCUGUCAGAGGGAAAGAAGGGUGUCGGCGCGAUAACCGCCGGCACUUGACGGUACCUUCAGAGGAAGCCCCGGCCAACUCUGUGCCAGCAACCGCGGUAAGACAGAGGGGGCAAGCGUUGCUCGGAAUCACUGGGCGUAAAGGGCGCGUAGGCGGGAUGGCAAGUCAGUCGUGAAAUCUCUCGGCUCAACCGAGAAACGUCGGCUGAUACUGCCGUUCUUGAGGGAUGCAGAGGAGACUGGAAUUCCCGGUGUAGCGGUGAAAUGUGUAGAGAUCGGGAGGAACACCGGUGGCGAAGGCGGGUCUCUGGGCAUCUCCUGACGCUGAGGCGCGAAAGCGUGGGGAGCAAACGGGAUUAGAUACCCCGGUAGUCCACGCUGUAAACGAUGACGACUAGGUGUGGGGUGGUUCAGUCCACUCCGUGCC